GGUUCUAUGGUGUAAUGGUUAGCACUCUGGACUUUGAAUCCAGUGAUCCGAGUUCAAAUCUCGGUAGAAAAUGUCU